rnacentral:rRNA from 1 species
UACGAAGGGGGCUAGCGUUGCUCGGAAUGACUGGGCGUAAAGGGCGCGUAGGCGGAUUGCUUUGUCGGGCGUGAAAUUCCAGGGCUUAACCUUGGGGCUGCGUUCGAGACGUGUGAUCUUGAGUUCGGAAGAGGGUCGUGGAAUUCCCAGUGUAGAGGUGAAAUUCGUAGAUAUUGGGAAGAACACCGGUGGCGAAGGCGGCGACCUGGUCCGAGACUGACGCUGAGGCGCGAAAGCGUGGGGAGCAAACAGG